UUGUGGAUGAGCAAGCAAAUUAAACUACUUACAUAUUCUGAAUAAUACCGGAACAUGUAUAUUUAAAUGUCCUACUACUUAAAAAAAUAAAUAAAAAAAUUAUAGUAUUAUAAAAUAAUAGUAAAAUAAACUAUUCUGUGCCACAAUAAAAUCAUAAAAGCAUCGACAAUGCUUUAUUAUUUAUUUAUUUAUUUUACCAUAUCUGGGAUGUUACCAUGGUAUCUCAAAUAUAAUGUAAACAUGAAGAAGUUGUGGCCGUUGUGUAAGUGUUUAACGUAAUUUUUGCGCUUUAAUUAGUAAACAAUGACUAUGAAUACGUCCAAAGUUAUUACGAAAAAGAAAAAGACUACCGAGAAAAGCAACUGUGGAUCAGUCACAACAAGACGUCUAAUCCGACCACCACUUUCAUAUUCUUUUUAUACCGCAGGUGUGACCCAAAUUACAACCCUCUUUAUAAUGAUGUAACGUACUCAGGUACCACAAGAGAAUUAACCCUUAAGAUAUGUCAACUGAAGGCAACACCAGAUGAAAGCCACACAGAUGAAAUGUAUAAGAGCCUCUCAGCAGAGACUAAAGCAACACCUGUGACUAUGAGCAAUAUGAAGAACUGGCCUGGAUGCCCCCAGGAGAUGACCAAAAAAUGCCAAAAGGAGGGUACCAAAUACAAAAAGAUGUCAUUAUCUGUAGCAGAUAGAUCCAGUCAAACAAAAAGAAAGCCAGCAUCAAUCAACCAUGAGAGUUUGAGGUGGGUGGGAGUGCUGGCCGACCCUAUGGCAGAGGAAAAGAGGAUUGAGAAUUAUAAAGCCAACAGGAGGAAACGCUAUCUGGCCGCCCAAGAAAACCUCAUCAAGAGCUUGGCCGCCAUUAACAUCCAGUGAAGUUGAAUCAUUUGGCCACAACAAUAACAGAAUAUACCACUUGGAAAUUUGGUUCCAAAUAACAAUAAUAGCAUAUUACAGUCCAAAUAGUACUUGUAUAAAUGAAACUUCAAAAAUAAAUGCUUGUUUAAUACAAAGGUAUGUUUUAUACCAAGGCUGUUUAAAUUUUAUAAAUUAUUGCUCCCAUAUUGUUUUAUAGGCUGGAUCAGGCCAGGUUAUAUAGUCUACUUCAGUGGUUCUCAAAGUGUGGGGCGCACCCUGUAGGGGGUGGUGGUGGGGGGCGGUUCUAGGUUGAAAGGGGGUCAAGUAGUUCAAAAAUGAACUACUGGCCUACUUUAUCUAGUCUCCAGUAGUACUCACUCACACCUUUAGGG